rnacentral:rRNA from 1 species
UACGUAGGGUGCGAGCGUUUAAUCGGAAUUACUGGGCGUAAAGCGUGCGUAGGCGGUUCGUUAAGUUCGUUGUGAAAGCCCCGGGCUCAACCUGGGAACUGCAAUGGAAACUGGCGGGCUUGAGUGUGGCAGAGGGGGGUGGAAUUCCGCGUGUAGCAGUGAAAUGCGUAGAGAUGCGGAGGAACACCGAUGGCGAAGGCAGCCCCCCUGGGCCAACACUGACGCUCAGGCACGAAAGCGUGGGGAGCAAACAGG